UUCCCCUAGUAACGGCGAGUGAAGAGGGAAGAGCCCAAGAUUGAAAGCUGGCGUCUUCGGCGUCCGCAUUGUAAUCUCAAGAAGUGUUUUCCGCUUCGGACCAAGCCUAAGUCCCUUGGAAAAGGGCAUCAUAGAGGGUGAUAAUCCCGUACAUGGCUUGGAGCGCCCGAAGCUUUGUGAUACGCUUUCUAAGAGUCGAGUUGUUUGGGAAUGCAGCUCAAAAUGGGUGGUAAAUGCCAUCUAAGGCUAAAUAUUGGGGAGAGACCGAUAGCGAACAAGUACAGUGAUGGAAAGAUGAAAAGAACUUUGAAAAGAGAGUUAAACAGUACGUGAAAUUGCCAAAAGGGAAGGGUAGGAGGUCAGAGAUGCGGCCUGGGAUUCAGCCUUGCUUUUGCUUGGUGUUUUUCCCAGAUUGCAGGCCAACGUCGGUUUUGGGCACUGGAGAAGGGUAGGAGGAACGUGGCACCUCUCGGGGUGUGUUAUAGCCUCCUACUGGAUACAGCGACCGAGACCGAGGACAGCAGCGUACUCGCAAGAGCGGGCCUUCGGGCACCUUUACGCUUAGGGCGUUGGCAUAAUGGCCCUCUACCACCCGUCUUGAAACACGGAC
rnacentral:rRNA from 1 species